GUGCGGUUACAAAAAUCUGAUUUUUGUAAGUAUAGUAUAGUGUAGUAUAGUAAGUAUAUAUGGUUCCAAAAAUCAGAUGUUGCAUGUACAGUACACAUGACAAAAUUUGGAUCACCCGCACUGUACGCUGUUCCUCGUGUACACUCAAAAAGUGAAGAAUACUUUGGGCUUUACCAACAGGAUAAUGCGCCAUGCCACACUGGCGGAAUCAUCAAAGAGUGGUUUGAGGAACAUGAUGGUGAAUUUCUGUCAAUGCCUUAUCCUCCAAAUUCACCUGACAUGAGCCCAAUAGAACUUUUGUUGGUCAACUUGGAAAAGGGGAAUUUAUGCUACAUCACCACCAUCCUGCAAUGUACGGGAACUGGAGGACUGGUUGUUGACAUUAUGGUACAAGAUGCACAGGAGUCGCCUCCUCGUCAAUCAAGUCAAAUCAAUUCCUAGAUGCAUGGCUACCGUUUUGCUGGCUAAAGGAGGUCCUGCAGGUUAUUAGGUGGCUAUAAUGUAAUGGUUCAUUGGUGUAUAUAUCUAAUAAAAAUUUACCAUAAUCUUUCAUCUAGGAAUAUUGGAUUUAUUUAUUUUACUAGAACUCGUCAGAAGACACAUUUUGUUUACUAAAGCUGUAGAAGAGUAAAGUAAACUGCUCCAUCUGCUGGGCACUUUUAGGCAUCCAAGUUAGCAAGCAUCCAGGCCACCGUAGUUAUCAUGCACCGAUCACGCGAAGGGAAAGAAAGUCUCGUCACCACAUUGUCAGAAGACUGUUCAAAUACAACCUUUUAGCUUUGUUUUUGCUCGGUCAGAAAGAGAUGGUUCGUUUUUUUUUCUCUCCUGAUUCCUGUCGAAGUUUUGUGCGCUAAUGACCAAAAGCUACAUACACAUACAUUACCCACACGACCAUGCACAAGUUUGUACAGACCAAUGGCUAUCCAUACCAAUGUAACCAGUAAACUUGAUGGACAUUAAAGUAAAUGAACUGGA